UCUGACUCUAACCACCUUCAGGACCGUGCCCAGGUCUACAACAGGAAACAUACAUCAGUAUUCAGUUAUCUAUCUGACUCUAACCACCUUCAGGACUGUGCCCAGGUCUACAACAGGAAACAUACAUCAGUAUUCAGUUAUCUCUCUGACUCUAACCACCUUCAGGACCGUGCCCAGGUCUACAACAGGAAACAUACAUCAGUAUUCAGUUAUCUAUCUGACUCUAACCACCUUCAGGACCGUGCCCAGGUCUACAACAGGAAACAUACAUCAGUAUUCAGUUAUCUCUCUGACUCUAACCACCUACAGGACCGUGCCCAGGUCUACAACAGGAAACAUACAUCAGUAUUCAGUUAUCUCUCUGACUCUAACCACCUACAGGACCGUGCCCAGGUCUACAACAGGAAACAUACAUCAGUAUUCAGUUAUCUCUCUGACUCUAACCACCUACAGGACCGUGCCCAGGUCUACAACAGGAAACAUACAUCAGUAUUCAGUUAUCUCUCUGACUCUAACCACCUACAGGACCGUGCCCAGGUCUACAACAGGAAACAUACAUCAGUAUUCAGUUAUCUCUCUGAC